rnacentral:ncRNA from 1 species
GCCUUAUAAAGAUGUAUGAACGCAAGACAGUUUGGCAUCUCCCUUUAGGGCAUUGUUCAAUUAGAAACUUCAAUGACAAGUCUUAUUGUAAUGCAUUAGUUGAAAUGAGAUGAAUUGAAGUGGAAUAGGUUAACCGUUAGACCUUGAAUUGAAAAAUUCUAAAAUUGAUCUCAAAAGAUAUGAUUAUUACCUUUUAGUAUUUUUGAGUAACGGUGAC